rnacentral:rRNA from 1 species
AUUGAACGCUGGCGGCAGGCUUAACACAUGCAAGUCGAACGGUAACAGGAGAAAAGCUUGCUUUUCUUGCUGACGAGUGGCGGACGGGUGAGUAAUGCUUGGGAAUCUGCCUUAUGGAGGGGGAUAAUACGGGAAACUGUAGCUAAUACCGCGUAAUGUCUACGGACUAAAGUAUGGGAUCUUUGGACCAUAUGCCAUAAGAUGAGCCCAAGUGAGAUUAGGUAGUUGGUGAGGUAAAGGCUCACCAAGCUGACGAUCUCUAGCUGGUUUGAGAGGAUGACCAGCCACACUGGAACUGAGACACGGUCCAGACUCCUACGGGAGGCAGCAGUGGGGAAUAUUGCACAAUGGGCGCAAGCCUGAUGCAGCCAUGCCGCGUGAAUGAAGAAGGCUUUCGGGUUGUAAAGUUCUUUCAGCGAUGAGGAAGGUGCUAUAUCUAAUAGGUGUAGCAUUUGACGUUAGUCGCAGAAGAAGCACCGGCUAACUCCGUGCCAGCAGCCGCGGUAAUACGGAGGGUGCGAGCGUUAAUCGGAAUAACUGGGCGUAAAGGGCACGCAGGCGGUUGUCUAAGUCAGAUGUGAAAGCCCCGAGCUUAACUUGGGAAUUGCAUUUGAGACUGGGCGACUAGAGUCCUCUAGGGAGGGGUAGAAUUCCACGUGUAGCGGUGAAAUGCGUAGAGAUGUGGAGGAAUACCGAAGGCGAAGGCAGCCCCUUGGAGAGAGACUGACGCUGAGGUGCGAAAGCGUGGGUAGCAAACAGG